UUUGAUCAUGGCUCAGAACGAACGCUGGCGGCGCGCCUAAUACAUGCAAGUCGAACGAGAAUGUGUAGCAAUACACAUGUACAGUGGCGAACGGGUGAGGACUACAUGGGUAACCUACCCUCGAGUGGGGAAUAACUAGCCGAAAGGUUAGCUAAUACCGCGUACGCUUCCAAGACUGCGGUUUUGGAAGGAAAGCGAUACCGUGGGUAUCGCGCUCUUGGAUGGGCUCAUGCCCUAUCAGCUUGUUGGUGAGGUAACGGCUCACCAAGGCUUCGACGGGUAGCUGAUCUGAGAGGAUGAUCAGCCACACUGGCACUGCGACACGGGCCAGACUCCUACGGGAGGCAGCAGUAAGGAAUAUUGCGCAAUGGGCGAAAGCCUGACGCAGCGACGCCGCGUGGGGGAUGAAGGUCUUCGGAUUGUAAACCCCUUUCGGGAGGGAAGAUGGGAUGGGGUAACCCAUUCGGACGGUACCUCCAGGAGCAGCCACGGCUAACUUCGUGCCAGCAGCCGCGGUAAUACGAAGGUGGCAAGCGUUGUUCGGAUUUACUGGGCGUACAGGGAGCGUAGGCGGUUGGAUAAGCCCUCCGUGAAAUCUCCAGGCUUAACCUGGAAAGUGCAGAGGGGACUGUUCAGCUAGAGGAUGGGAGAGGAGCGCGGAAUUCCCGGUGUAGCGGUGAAAUGCUUAGAUAUCGUCAAGAACACCGAUAGUGUAGACAGCUUACUAGACUUCCACUGACGCUGAGGCACGAAAGUGUGGGGAUCAAACAG
rnacentral:rRNA from 1 species